rnacentral:rRNA from 1 species
CACGUAGGGGGCAAGCGUUGUCCGGAUUUAUUGGGCGUAAAGAGCUCGUAGGCGGUUCGGUAAGUCGGGUGUGAAACCUCCAGGCUCAACCUGGAGAGGCCACCUGAUACUGCUGUGACUCGAGUCCGGUAGGGGAGCGUGGAAUUCCUGGUGUAGCGGUGAAAUGCGUAGAGAUCAGGAAGAACAUCGGUGGCGAAGGCGCUCUGCUGGACCAUAACUGACACUCAGGGACGAAAGCUAGGGGAGCGAAUGGG